AUUAUAACUCAAGCUUACCUGUCUAGUUGCACCCUAGGAAGAUUUCUUAAUUAUCUCUCGCAGCAGGCUCAGCAAGCAGAUCAUCAAGGUACUUUACAGCUUCAGCUACAUCUCCUGAUACCCCUCUUUCCCAUGUGAUCUCACCAGAGUUCUCUAAGGUACCAUUUCCUAGCAACUUUUGUGACAUUUGUGGAUAUGCAUGCAACCCAAAUAGCAUAAUUAAAAGAAGUGAUCAACAAAUGAAGAUGGAAGUUCAUGCCCUCUAUUUGUGACAGCAUAAAAAUACAAUGACCUAUAACACAACGCAAGCAUGAUCAUCUCCACCAUAACUGACCAUUUCUUGCAUUCUAUUUUAAAUGGCACAGAUUCUGAGCUAUGUCGGAUUUCUUGCAGCAUCUUCGAAUAGAAUUCAUGAUGG
rnacentral:lncRNA from 1 species